rnacentral:snRNA from 1 species
GAAUGUGAAGGCAAUCUGGUUGCAAUAUCUGUCACCCCAUUGAUUGCCAGGGUUGAUGUUCCUUUCCUCCCUCACUGCUCUGUGUGCACCCCUCCUGAAACUAUGGUUGAAAAGGAUGACUUUCCCCAAUAGAAGAGAGGACCAUUCCUUGGUCAAGGGUAUACAAGGAGCUUCACUCCCCUGCUAGAACCUCCAAACAAGCAGUUAAAGUCCAUUAGGGUCAUCAAGCUUCUAAGACUAGAGACACAUCCAAAUGAGGCACUGCAUGU